rnacentral:rRNA from 1 species
UACGGAGGGAGCUAGCGUUGUUCGGAAUUACUGGGCGUAAAGCGUGCGUAGGCGGUUAUUCAAGUCAGAGGUGAAAGCCCGGGGCUCAACCCCGGAACGGCCUUUGAAACUAGGUAACUAGAAUCUUGGAGAGGUUAGUGGAAUUCCGAGUGUAGAGGUGAAAUUCGUAGAUAUUCGGAAGAACACCAGUGGCGAAGGCGACUAACUGGACAAGUAUUGACGCUGAGGUACGAAAGCGUGGGGAAGCAAACAGGG